ACUGCGGAGACUAGAAGAAGUGCAUGUCGUCCACACACAUUCAGCCCAAGGUGCCUGGACCUUGGCAGAAGCCAUUGUUCCAACUCUCAGUUCCAGGUCUGAGACCCUUGUCUAUGAAGCUCGGUAGCUCCCCGUUGCUGUCUAUCCUUCAGCCUCCCCUUCCUGCUCUCUUGUCUUCUUUCUUCUGUCUUCCUUAUUCUUCCGACCUUGGUCCUCGCAAACGGUUCGACUGUCUUCCUUUAACUGUCGAGCCCGAACUGCCCGGAUGCUUUCAAAGCGUCGGGUACUGACUUACGUUCCUGCUUCUGCCACUGUGCCUCUACCAUCCACCUCCAAUCACCGAGAUGUGCUCAGGGCACGCGUGUCAGGGUUCGCUAGACUGGGGGGAACCUCUGAGCAGGGAUGUGAGGGAUCGUCUCGGCAACGCUAAUAGAUGAUGGAAGACCCAUCUUUAUAAGGAUUGUAAUGUUACCAACAACUUCAAGCUCCGGCUGCCUUGACAUCCCCACUUUGAUUGACUGUGCCUUCAAGUGUGACCAAAAUAAAACCUGUCUUUCCUUU